GUCAGGAUGAACGCUGGCGGCGUGCCUAAUACAUGCAAGUCGAGCGAACAGACGAGGAGCUUGCUCCUCUGACGUUAGCGGCGGACGGGUGAGUAACACGUGGAUAACCUACCUAUAAGACUGGGAUAACUUCGGGAAACCGGAGCUAAUACCGGAUAAUAUAUUGAACCGCAUGGUUCAAUAGUGAAAGACGGUUUUGCUGUCACUUAUAGAUGGAUCCGCGCCGCAUUAGCUAGUUGGUAAGGUAACGGCUUACCAAGGCAACGAUGCGUAGCCGACCUGAGAGGGUGAUCGGCCACACUGGAACUGAGACACGGUCCAGACUCCUACGGGAGGCAGCAGUAGGGAAUCUUCCGCAAUGGGCGAAAGCCUGACGGAGCAACGCCGCGUGAGUGAUGAAGGUCUUCGGAUCGUAAAACUCUGUUAUUAGGGAAGAACAAAUGUGUAAGUAACUAUGCACGUCUUGACGGUACCUAAUCAGAAAGCCACGGCUAACUACGUGCCAGCAGCCGCGGUAAUACGUAGGUGGCAAGCGUUAUCCGGAAUUAUUGGGCGUAAAGCGCGCGUAGGCGGUUUUUUAAGUCUGAUGUGAAAGCCCACGGCUCAACCGUGGAGGGUCAUUGGAAACUGGAAAACUUGAGUGCAGAAGAGGAAAGUGGAAUUCCAUGUGUAGCGGUGAAAUGCGCAGAGAUAUGGAGGAACACCAGUGGCGAAGGCGACUUUCUGGUCUGUAACUGACGCUGAUGUGCGAAAGCGUGGGGAUCAAACAGGAUUAGAUACCCUGGUAGUCCACGCCGUAAACGAUGAGUGCUA
rnacentral:rRNA from 1 species